rnacentral:rRNA from 1 species
UAAGACGAAGGUGGCAAGCGUUGUUCGGUGUUACUGGGCUUAAAGCGUGUGUAGGCGGAAAAGUAAGCGUUUUGUGAAAUACCUGGGCUUAACCCAGGAAUUGCUAGGCGAACUACUUUUCUUGAGGCAAGUAGGGGUGCAUGGAACUCUUGGUGGAGCGGUGGAAUGCGUAGAUAUCAAGAGGAACGCCGAUGGAGAAAUCAGUGCACUGGGCUUGACCUGACGCUGAGACACGAAAGCGUGGGGAGCGAACGGGAUUAGAUACCCCGGUAGUCCACGCCGUAAACGAUGUCUACUAGGUUGCGGAGGUUCUGACACUUUCGCGACCGAAGCAAAAGUGUUAAGUAGACCGCCUGGGGAGUACGGUCGCAAGGCUA